GUCACCACCAAACGAAAUGCCGUCAGUGUCGACCGCGCGCUCAGGAAAGUCUGACGCUUUGCCGUUGGGCCUCGUCGACGUUCCAACAUGUGACACUAAAUUUGCGAUAAGAGUAGAUGCUUCGAUUCGUGUUUCACAAAUAUUUGCACUCAGGCAACGUGCAAGGAUCCGUGUAUUUGCACAUGUGAAUUGGCGAGCGUCUCUGCGGGUCAAUCAUCUUCUGUGUACAAGCAAGUUCAAAGAGUGCUCGCUGCAUCGUGGGCCAAGUAAUCGAUAAGGGGACGAUUCGCCUAAUCAAGUAAAAAUAUUUACGCUCAUCUCUGAUACUUCGUGAUCAAUCGUGAAGCAAUCGCGUACGUACAUAUAACGUUGAAGAAAUUCAAGAUCGUUGUUUGAUUUUCUGGAAGCACUGAGAGCACGUAGCCGUUGAUCAGCUGUGGUAAUUCUCAUCGCCGUCGCUAACUACACGGGGCGUAUCCAAGGGGCUAAUGAUAGCAUUCAAUGGCAGCACACAAAUUAUACCAAUUGGACACGUGUUUCGGAAUAUAACCGAUUUUCAAACAACUACCUGCGGUAGAAUAAGAUGAGAUAAAAAUAUUGGAUCAAAAUUGCUAUACGCAUGCCGAUGGCAGGGAGUUCUUGAUCUAACAAUAAGAUCAGAAGUCGGAAAAUCGUCCGAUACCGCUGCACGAGGUUGUAUUUGGGACAUUGCAAAUUACCAAAUUGCAAAUUUAACUGUCAGUAUGGCGUACGAAAACGGGAGAAGCAGAAGCAUUGACCUGGACAAUAUGGAAUUGGAUCCGAUUCGGCGAACGCGUUUUCACGUCAACCGAGUUGACAGCUUGGAAGGUCGAGCUAGCCUCCUAGGGGAACAGGAGACCAAGAAAUCCCUGCGGAAUCUGACACGCGAAGCACUACCUCGGCUAGAAAACUACAGGAAUAUCCUAAGUCUACAAGCAGUCCACAGACCUACCCUAGACGAAUUGCACAAUUCCUCUUUCGUCAACAAGGGUCACACGUCUAACACACUUCCAUUAUCUGUGGAGAAGCCAUUAGAAGCUGGUAUCAAAUUUGGGUGGAUCCAGGGUGUGCUUAUACGAUGUCUCCUAAAUAUCUGGGGAGUGAUGCUCUUCCUGCGGUUGUCGUGGGUCGUGGCACAGGCAGGAAUAGGCGAGGCACUCUUGAUAAUAAUUACAACCACUGUGGUGACUACGAUCACCUCUCUGUCCAUGUCUGCCAUCAGUACAAAUGGUCUCAUCAAAGGAGGCGGAACGUAUUACAUGAUCUCAAGAUCUUUGGGUCCCGAAUUUGGUGGAUCCAUAGGGUUGAUAUUUUCACUAGCCAACGCGAUUGCCGUCGCCAUGUACGUUGUGGGAUUCUGUGAAAGUCUAGUUGACUGUCUCAAGUCCUACGGCAUCUGUAUUGUCGAUUGCGAUAGCACAGACGUCAGAAUAAUAGGCUGCAUAACAAUCGUGCUGUUACUGAUGAUCGUCGUGAUUGGGAUGGAAUGGGAAGCAAAGGCGCAGUUAGGCUUACUGGUCAUACUUUUGGUCGCUAUAGCAGACUUUACAAUUGGCACUUUUAUUGGGCCAAAGGACGAGGGCGAAAAAGCCAAGGGCUUCGUUGGUUACAGAGCCGAAUUAUUGAGGGAAAAUUUUUAUCCGGACUACAGAUACAGCGAAGGUGUGGACCACAAUUUCUUUUCAGUCUUGGCAAUUUUUUUCCCUGCAGCAACGGGAAUUUUAGCUGGCGCCAAUAUUUCCGGCGAUCUAAAAGAUCCUCAGUCAGCUAUUCCAAAAGGAACUCUCCUGUCCAUCCUAGUAACAACGGUCACUUAUCUGCUGAUGAUUGUUAUGGUUGGAGCCAGUGUUCUCCGCGACGCAUCAGGAAAUGUGACAGAUCUGAUUUCUUCAGUAACUGAAUCACCGAUACUAAAUUCAAGCGUAACUGAAACCAUAAUCGUCUUCCAAAACGCAAGCACCAUCGAGAACGACACGUCAACUAUCGUAGAGAACAUGACCAGCCCCAUCAAAAAUGCGGUAGAUCGAUCGUGGUCGAUUUAUGGUACAUCUUUCAACUGCACUGGAGGAUGCGCGUACGGGUCACACAACAGUUUCCAAGUAAUCGAGUUGGUUUCCUUCUUCGGACCGUUGAUAUACGCCGGCUGUUUCGCGGCAUCAUUGUCCAGCGCCUUGGCGUCCCUGGUAUCGGCGCCAAAGGUCUUCCAAGCGCUUUGCCUCGAUGAAUUGUAUCCAGGAAUCGCUUGGUUCAGCGGACAGCCUGGGAAAGAACCGGUGAGAGGGUACAUCCUCACGUUUGCCGUCGCCGUUGGAUUCAUUUUGAUUGGGGAACUAAACACAAUCGCACCGCUGAUAUCAAAUUUCUUUCUCGCGGCUUACACCUUGGUCAACUUCAGCACCUUUCACGCCUCGUUGGCCAAGCCAAUCGGCUGGCGUCCGACGUUUAAGUAUUACAACAUGUGGCUCAGUUUGGCAGGGGCUGUACUUUGCGUCGCCGUCAUGUUCUUAAUUUCAUGGUGGACUGCACUCAUCACCCUGUCCGUGGUGCUCGCCCUGUAUCUUGUCGUUUCAUACAGAAAACCUGAUGUCAACUGGGGGUCCACGACCCAAGCUCAGACCUACAGCAGUGCGCUCACGGCUGUACAGCAGCUCGAUCGCGUUGAAGAACAUGUUAAAAAUUAUAGGCCACAAGUCUUGGUGCUCAGCGGACCCCCGAGUGCUCGUUCGGUGCUGGUGGAUUUUGCACAUCUUGUCACAAAGAACCACUCUCUGCUGAUAUGCGGGCACAUCGUUGAGUCCAUUCUUCCUCACCGAACGCGUGCCUCUCUCAUCAGUAAAUCGAUAUCCUGGCUGAGGGCCAAUAAAGUAAAAGGAUUUUACUCGAUGAUUGACGGAACAACGUUUCAAGAGGGAGCCACAGCAAUGCUGCAGGUAUCAGGUCUCGGUAAAUUGAAGCCAAACAUUCUUCUGAUGGGUUACAAACAGGAUUGGGCCGCUUGUUCACACGAAGAGCUUAACAUGUAUUUCAACGUAAUGCACAAAGCACUAGAUAUACACGUUGCGGUCGCCCUGCUCCGUGUUAACGACGGCUUGGAUUACAGUUCUAUGAUGUGUGACGCCGAACAGCAGUCUACAUCCCCAAGAAAAAUUUCCUCGACCAGCAUGUCGCAAAAUCGAAGCUUUUCGCAAUUGAGCCAAGCAAGUAGCGCAUCUGAUAUUUCAAUGCCCGGAAGUCCGGCACCCCGAAGAUCUCACGUGGUUAGCGAAUAUCCAAAUCCAACGACCGAGGAUCGCAUAGAGCCUCGACAAAACGUGGAAGUUAUCUCCAAGGAAGUCUUGACGAGCGUGACGAGGUUCCAAAGGAAACAGAAAAAAGGGACCAUAGAUGUAUGGUGGCUCUACGACGACGGUGGGCUGACCUUGCUCAUGCCCUACAUCAUCAGUACCAGAAGUAAUUGGGCCAGUUGUAAGCUGAGGGUAUUUGCCCUAGCAAAUAGGCAUUCAGAGCUUGAGUACGAGCAGAGAAGUAUGGCCAGUCUGCUGGCGAAAUUUCGGAUAGACUAUUCUGCGCUGACUGUUAUUCCGGACAUAACUAAGCCAGCACAGUCGACAACAACGAAUUUCUUCAACCAGUUGAUAGCUGACUUUCAACAACCUGAAAAUCCCAAGGAUCCCGAUACCGUUCCAUUGAAAGACUCAGAGCUCCUAGCGAUGAAAGAAAAGACAAACAGACACCUUCGCCUUCGUGAAAUACUUCUGGAAAAUUCAAUGGAGGCCAAUUUGAUAGUAAUGACACUUCCGAUGCCGAGAAAGGGGGCCGUUUCCGCACCAUUGUACAUGGCAUGGCUGGAGACUCUGACCAGGGAUAUGCCACCGUUUCUGUUGGUACGAGGGAAUCACACGUCGGUUCUCACCUUCUACUCAUAAGUGAGCAAAGUGGCCUGUAGUGUUUAAAAUUUUGCUGUCCAAGAGUUUCCCAAUGUUACGUGAACCAAAGAAAAACAAUGAAAAUGUUCAAACAAGCAGCUACCAUUUCGAGCAGCCAAGGAAGUUUCUGGAGUGUAUUACGUAGUCAUAACGUAACGUAACGUUGAAUGAUGAUAAAGAAAGUUUCCACUCUGACAUCACCGAGAAUAAGACUAAAUAGAUUAUUUCAAUGCAACGUGCACGUGAAAUCUCUUGCGUCAGUUGUAAGAGAAAGCUGUACACAAGUUUCAAUUUUUCCACCAGAGAUCGGUAACGUGCAAGUAUAUAGUCUCUGUGGUUUUCAACAUUGUGUAUGCUGUUUGGGAAUUGUAGUAAAGAAUUUUUAGCCCAUAACAUGAGCUUGAUUUUUCUAACGAAGCCCUGAUUGAAAGUCAAGGUUGAGAUUUCUGCAAACGCCCAAGUCCAUAAGCCGCUCCAAGACGAACUUCUAUCCAGAGUUUAUCUGAGGUCUUACGAAGGAUAACACGAAGCCAGUCGAUCUCGGUGGGUACCGAAGUAGCAGGAAACCCGGCAUGUGAGAUACCGUGAAGGUAGUAAUUGCGAGUUGCAGCGUGAUGGUUAAUAUGAGGCAUUAGAGAAGACCGAGAGAUGAUGAAUGCCACCACAUGAAGAUUGCUGUUACAUACGACUCACUGACGUCGAAUUCUAAAUGAGAUAAAAGCAAACAGCUGGUCUAAUUGCUGUUUGGGAGCAAUUCAAAUUACCAAGUCGGUAUAAGCCAUGAUAAAUAUUAGGCAAAAAAUACGACUGGUUAAAAAUGCAGAUGUAUAACUUGCCGAAUGUGUGAAUUACCUUUCAUCGAUGCCUCAGAAUGUGCGCGAGCAUACGGGUUCGAAAUAUUAUUUAUUACCCGUCUGAAAAUUUGGCGUUAGUCAGGCUAAUGCGAAUGAUACGUAAUUUCAACUUCAAUUCUUCGAGUUACGCUAAUAAAUGUAAUUUGAAGAUCCCGAAAAAACUUGAUUUCGUAGAAUUGUAAAACGAAUAACAAGUUGCGAGGACAGUCAGCGCAUUGAUAUUAUAUUACAGUGAUGAAGUUUCAUCGUAAUUGGAUCUAUGAUUUUGAUCAAGUGAAAGUGUUGCUCGGCAUUGUUCUCGUACUUGGAGACGCAAAGACGUCGCAGUAUGCAUAGAAAUGAGAUACCGUCGCAGAAACGGUAACGGUACUCUGGAGACAAAUCCAGGCCAACGUGUUGCUAAGCGUCAAUGUCAAUAUCUGAAACAAGGAGAAUAAAUCACAGCGAGGGUAAGCUCGACGUUAUUAGAACCCGAAUGGUGAGUGUUCCAGUUUUUUUCUGCGUGAAUUUUGCGAAACAAAUACAAUUCUCGUGUAAGACACCUUACUGAAAAUUAUUUUGUGACAAAUCACAUAGCGUUAUGACCGAAAUUCCGACGUAUUUU